rnacentral:rRNA from 1 species
UACGUAGGUGGCAAGCGUUGUCCGGAUUUACUGGGCGUAAAGGAUGCGUAGGCGGACAUUUAAGUCAGAUGUGAAAUACCCGUGCUUAACUUGGGUGCUGCAUUUGAAACUGGGUGUCUAGAGUGCAGGAGAGGUAAGUGGAAUUCCUAGUGUAGCGGUGAAAUGCGUAGAGAUUAGGAAGAACACCAGUGGCGAAGGCGACUUACUGGACUGUAACUGACGCUGAGGCAUGAAAGCGUGGGGAGCAAACAGG